UACAGAGGGUGCGAGCGUUGUUCGGAAUUAUUGGGCGUAAAGGGCGCGUAGGCGGUGCGGUAAGUCACCUGUGAAAUCUCCUGGCUCAACUGGGAGCUUGCAGUCGAAACUGCCGUGCUGGAGUGUGGGAGAGGUGCGUGGAAUUCCUGGUGUAGCGGUGAAAUGCGUAGAUAUCAGGAGGAACACCGGUGGCGAAAGCGGCGCACUGGACCACAACUGACGCUGAGGCGCGAAAGCUAGGGGAGCAAACAGG
rnacentral:rRNA from 1 species